UGCAAGUCGAGCGGACAGAUGGGAGCUUGCUCCCUGAUGUUAGCGGCGGACGGGUGAGUAACACGUGGGUAACCUGCCUGUAAGACUGGGAUAACUCCGGGAAACCGGGGCUAAUACCGGAUGGUUGUUUGAACCGCAUGGUUCAAACAUAAAAGGUGGCUUCGGCUACCACUUACAGAUGGACCCGCGGCGCAUUAGCUAGUUGGUGAGGUAACGGCUCACCAAGGCAACGAUGCGUAGCCGACCUGAGAGGGUGAUCGGCCACACUGGGACUGAGACACGGCCCAGACUCCUACGGGAGGCAGCAGUAGGGAAUCUUCCGCAAUGGACGAAAGUCUGACGGAGCAACGCCGCGUGAGUGAUGAAGGUUUUCGGAUCGUAAAGCUCUGUUGUUAGGGAAGAACAAGUACCGUUCGAAUAGGGCGGUACCUUGACGGUACCUAACCAGAAAGCCACGGCUAACUACGUGCCAGCAGCCGCGGUAAUACGUAGGUGGCAAGCGUUGUCCGGAAUUAUUGGGCGUAAAGGGCUCGCAGGCGGUUUCUUAAGUCUGAUGUGAAAGCCCCCGGCUCAACCGGGGAGGGUCAUUGGAAACUGGGGAACUUGAGUGCAGAAGAGGAGAGUGGAAUUCCACGUGUAGCGGUGAAAUGCGUAGAGAUGUGGAGGAACACCAGUGGCGAAGGCGACUCUCUGGUCUGUAACUGACGCUGAGGAGCGAAAGCGUGGGGAGCGAACAGGAUUAGAUACCCUGGUAGUCCACGCCGUAAACGAUGAGUGCUAAGUGUUAAGGGGGUUUCCGCCCCUUAGUGCUGCAGCUAACGCAUUAAGCACUCCGCCUGGGGGAGUACGGUCGCAAGACUGAAACUCAAAGGAAUUGACGGGGGCCCGCACAAGCGGUGGAACCAUGGUGGUUUAAUUCGAAGCAACGCGAAGAACCUUACCAGGUCUUGACAUCCUCUGACAUCCUAGAAG
rnacentral:rRNA from 1 species